rnacentral:rRNA from 1 species
CCCAAUGUGGCUGAUCAUCCUCUCAGACCAGCUACUGAUCGUCGCCUUGGUGAGCCAUUACCUCACCAACUAGCUAAUCAGACGCGGGCCGAUCUUUCGGCGAUAAAUCUUUCCCCGUAAGGCUUAUCCGGUAUUAGCACAAGUUUCCCUGUGUUGUUCCGAACCAAAAGGUACGUUCCCACGCGUUACUCACCCGUCUGCCGCUGACGUAUUGCUACGCCCGCUCGACUUGCAUGUGUUAAGCCUGCCG